CGACCGCUGGCGGCAGGCCUAACACAUGCACGUCGAGCGAGGACUUCGGUUCUAGCGGCGGACGGGUGAGUAACGCGUGGGAAUGUGCCCUUCUCUACGGAAUAGCCCUGGGAAACUGGGAGUAAUACCGUAUACGCCCUAUUGGGGAAAGAUUUAUCGGAGAAGGAUCAGCCCGCGUUGGAUUAGGUAGUUGGUGGGGUAAUGGCCUACCAAGCCGACGAUCCAUAGCUGGUUUGAGAGGAUGAUCAGCCACACUGGGACUGAGACACGGCCCAGACUCCUACGGGAGGCAGCAGUGGGGAAUCUUAGACAAUGGGGGCAACCCUGAUCUAGCCAUGCCGCGUGAGUGAUGAAGGCCUUAGGGUUGUAAAGCUCUUUCAGCUGGGAAGAUAAUGACGGUACCAGCAGAAGAAGCCCCGGCUAACUCCGUG
rnacentral:rRNA from 1 species